UACGAAGGGGGCUAGCGUUGCUCGGAAUCACUGGGCGUAAAGGGCGCGUAGGCGGCCAUUCAAGUCGGAGGUGAAAGCCCAGGGCUCAACCCUGGAAUUGCCUUCGAUACUGUUUGGCUAGAGGCCGGAAGAGGUAAGUGGAACUGCGAGUGUAGAGGUGAAAUUCGUAGAUAUUCGCAAGAACACCAGUGGCGAAGGCGGCUUACUGGUCCGGUUCUGACGCUGAGGCGCGAAAGCGUGGGGAGCAAACAGG
rnacentral:rRNA from 1 species